UUUAUGGAGAGUUUGAUCCUGGCUCAGGAUGAACGCUGGCGGCGUGCCUAAUACAUGCAAGUCGAGCGAACGGACGAGAAGCUUGCUUCUCUGAUGUUAGCGGCGGACGGGUGAGUAACACGUGGAUAACCUACCUAUAAGACUGGGAUAACUUCGGGAAACCGGA
rnacentral:rRNA from 1 species